UUUAUUUCGGUUGUUUACAAUUGGUGCUACAACCUCAGUGAGAUAUCCUCCCACUGUAUGAAUAUCUUGCUUUAAGCUUACCCCUGCAUAGACCUAAACUGUCCAUGGAUAUAAAUUUGACUUCAAGCCUUUUAAGCUUCAACACAUUCAUCUUGUUUAACUCAGCGAACCUGAUUCUUACUCUGGCUCUAUUUUGCUUCUUUCAGGUGAUGCUGGAGUACCUCAAUUGGUGCACAUAUGUCUAGGAGAUGAGAAGAUUGAUCUGUAUGUUCACCUGCCCCAACUUGCUUGGGACAAAAGACAUUGUUGUUGUUGUCGUUGUCGUUAUUGUUGUUGUUGUCGUGUUUGUUGUCAUCGUCGUCGUCGUCGUUGUCGUUGUUGUUCACCUUUCCUGUUUAUCAACUCAUGUGGAAGGUCGAGGCACUGGCGAUGUUGGAGUACUUCAAUUGCUGCGCCUAUGUGUAGGUGUCCCCUGCUACAGUUAUGUUCAAUUGUCCUGUUCGCCCAGCGCAACUUGCCCGGGACAAAAUGUUUUGUUGUUGUUCACCUCUCCUGUUUAUCAACUUAUGUGAAAGGUUUAGGCACUGCCAUGCUAUGAUCCUGUUUUGCCAUAUAUGUGUUGUGUGUUUCUUUAUCAGCCUAUGUUACAAGGGUUCUGGUGUGUAUAUGUUGCCCCAAGUGAAAAGUUGAAACGUCGUGGUACGGGUGGGUAGCCUCUUAAUGGAUGCUCGCUUCGUCCCAUAAUAUAAGACGUUUUUGCAAGCUAUGAGAUGGAGGGAGUACAAACCACACAAGUAAUUGGGGGUGUUUAGAGAGAAAUUGAGAAAAAGAAGGUUUAGGGGAGAACAAGAGAGGGAUACAAGCAAAGAGAGGAUCUAGGGGAGGGAUGGGACAGUUCUCUUCUGCCUGUUCCAAAACCAAAAGGACAGUAGCUGGGUGCGACUCCUCUUGCCUGCAUGCAGUACAGUAGCAGCGAUAGCCCACACCACACCCAGCAGAACCAUUGAAAUCGACAAUUGACGUUUGGUUACUGGAAUUGAGUACUCAGGAUUGGUUAUUGUAGAAUUCUGGAUACAAGGUAAAUCAAGUUGGCAGGACAGUGGCUAAAAUUGCAGGUUAGGAUAAUGGUUUUAAAUAGCGCGUUUAGAAGAGGUCCUCUGCUAAGGGUCUUUGGUCCAAACACAUGAACAGACAUUUUAAAUAGUGCGCUAUAGCGUUUAGAAGAGGUACGUUGCUAAGGCGCGCUAUUUAUAAAUUAUUUCACAAAUUAGAGCAUCUCCACACCCCCCCCCCCCAAACAGCCCCCGAAGGCCCUUUUUUUUAUCGCCGGCUAUAAAAAAUGGCCCAGUCGCGCCCCCGAAAGCCCAAUUUUCACCGGUUAGGGCCGAAUUUGGCGCCGGCAGACCCAGGGCGAACCUGGCGUGGUGGGGGCGUCGGGGUAAACGUUUUUGGCGCGAAAGCCCGAUGGUCCCGCAGAGUCAGCGACUCGGCGCCAUCGUGGUCCUCAUCGCCUCGGUUCGCACGGGAAUCAAUGCGAAGGUUGCCGCACCUGUCAGCCUCCAUUGAUGCCUCGUCCCACCACGCGUACACACGCAAGCCGUCUUCUCGCCGCCCACGCCCAGCUAUAAAAGCCGCCCUUCCCUCGCUGGUGCGCGGUGACGCACGUCCUGUCAGCUGCCGCCACGCGUACAUACGCCGGCCGUCCUCUCGCCACCCACGCCCGGCUAUAAAAGCCGUCCUUCCCUCACAGGUGAGCGCACCGCACACUCGACCGCCACAGAACCCUCUCCUCUCUCGACCUCUCACCGUUGACGCGCGCCCCUCCUCUCUCCCACUCCGACGAGCAUGGUCGAGCGCUACCCAGGCGACGGUGCGGCGGCCAACGGCUUCGGCCAUCGCCACCUGCACGAGGAUGAGGCGUGCCUCCUCUACGAGGCCGACUACUCGUCCUCGCCGGACAUGCGGGUGCCGGGCGCCUGGAGGCUCAGCACCAGCGGCGUCCCGGUGCCUCCAGCGCCCACCGGAGCUGAACGGCGGGCCGAGAUCGCCCGCAUCCGGUCGUCGCUGCCGGCGAAGACGCGGAACCAGCCGAGGUACGCCCUCAACAGCAGCACAUUGUGGACAACGUACUUCGAACGCCAGAAUGAGGAGGAGCUCGCCUCCACCAACGCCGUCGAGCUUCGCGGCCGCCUCAACUCCGACGGGACGUGCCAAUGGUGGGGCGUCCCCGGCCGUACCCUCGAGGCCGUCCUCGAGUACAACGAGUCCAGGAACACACCGUGCUUGGAGUACCCGACGCCCCCCUCCUUCUCCCGUCGCCGCGGCAGCUCCUGGACGCCGCAGCGAAUGGAGACGGGACCUCCUCGUCUUCGGGCUCACUGUCCUCCGGAUCGCCGGCACUCCGCCCCUUCAAGCCAGAGCCACAGGAGACGCCGCUCGGGCGCCACACCCGUGGCGGCGCCCUAGUCAACAACGAGGGUGGUGGUCGCCCCUCUCCUCCCUCUUCCCGCCUCGUCUGGCCGAAGACCGAGCCGGGGCUGCUUCCCGUGAAGAAGGAGCAUGAGGACAUGGCCGCCGCCGACGAGACCGCGCUCAGAUGGCCGCUGCGGUAGUAGUUUUAGUUGUUUUAAAUUAUGUUUGUUAGUUUUUUGUACAAAUAUCAAUGAAAUCGCCUAGUUUGACCGAAGUUCUUCUGUGUUUGGACGAAUUUUGGCCGAGUUUGGUUAAAAAAAAGGGCGUCUGGAGCGACUUUGGGGCGGCGGCUGGGAAACCGGCCGCCCCAAGCCGAUUUUAUUGCCGGUUUGCCCAGGUGGCGCUAUUUCAAACCCCUGAGGGACCGAACGGCUCGAGAUGCUCUUACCCCAACAAAUACACAGAACAUCAGUCUCCUCGUUCACUCCAGAAGAGUCAGUCUCUUGGAGUCCUUUCAUCAUCACUCAAAAGGUACGGCUGCGACUCAUACGGAUUAAAGCCACCGUAUCUGUAACUCCAUCCACUAAGCUCAUAGGCUUCCACCCAUCCCGUUUGAUCUCCCCAAGAAAGAAGAAACACGCACCCUUCCUCCCGAUUUAUACAUGCCCCACCUCACUUGCUCUACAUCGCGCGGCUUUGAAUCUAAAAUACUGAGUACGUAGUCUUCUCUUCGAUCUUGUUCAGCAUAGGUACUAGUUUUGCACCGUGUUCUUGCUUAAUGUCUGGCGUAUAUCUUGUCUUCUCAGUUGAUCAGACUGGUGGAGCACCCGGCAAGCUGGCGAUCAGUCACCAUGCCAGGUAGCAUGGGUGCAACCGUCCUCGACGACCUGCCCGAGUCAAUCAUCGUGGAAGAGAUACUCGUGCGGUUGCCGUCCAAGGAUGUCUCCGCUGCCGGGCCGUCCGCGAGUUGUGGCGCAGCGCCAUCUCCACCAACGACUUCAUGCUCGCGCAUCACCAUCGCCAGCCUGCGCUUCCGCUCAUCCAGAUCUCUCCAAAGAAUGCGCACUGCAAUUGCACCAAGUGCUCCAACUUCAGAGAGAAUGGGGAUGUCAGCCACAGCUUUGCUCCCUUUCGCACCGGCGCUACCAUGGCCGAUUGCAAGCUCUGGCCCGUCCUCCGUACCAGCCCUACCACGAACUGGCCUGUGCUCCAUGGGGCCUGUGAUGGUCGUCGAGGAGCCAUGGCUGCACAGUUCCCCUUCCAUGGACUGGAUUUCUUUGGAAGAAAAACUAGGGACCCGAUUGCAUUUUUAGCCCGCUUAUGUGUGGGUUCAACUAGUCAGAAAUGCGCUUAAGAGAGCCAAAUUGGACACUUUUCAGACAUAGUAGUUUUCAGUCAAGGAUUAAUGAAAAAAUGGUAGUUUUUUGCACAAAUUUGUAAAGCGGUAGUUUGUAGGCACGGUUGCACGAAUUGUGGUAGUUUUUUGUUAAAUACUCCCAAGGUUGUAUAUGUGAAAAUUACCAAAUUGAGGAUCACAAUUAUAAAAUUUCUUUUAAAGAAGUAUUCUUUUUUUUAAAAAUCCUCAAUUCCUUAGUGCUGAUGAGAUUUUGCAAUGCGGGGAAACAGCGGGCGCACACGCUUCAGUGGACCCAUUUGUCAGAGGUACUCCGUCUAGGGUUUCCCUUGUCAGAGUAGUACUCCUGCUAGGGUUUCCGCAUGGGCCUGCCGGGCGCCGCCGCUUGAUCCCGUCUCCACUCUCCUCGACUCCACCAAAACCACCUCGCCGAUGCUCCUCCGUUCUGGGCGGCGCCUGGCCGCCGAGGACGAACCGGGGCGGACGGCCCCGCCGAGGAGGAGAAGCAGGGCAAGGUCGGACCGCCUCGCCGUCAUCCCCGAUGAGAUCCUGCAUCAGGAGAUCCUGCCCCGCCUCCCGGCCAAGUCCGUGCUCCGCUUCCGCGCCGUCUGCCGGUCCUGGCGCAGCCUCGCGUCCGACCCCGCCUUCCUCCUCGACCACCACCGCCGCCAGCCGGCGGUUCCCCUGAUUAGGUCCUGCCGGAUCUCCGGCCGCGGCCUCGAAUCCGGCCUCAACGCCAUCCACCUCCGGUCCGCGAAGAUCGGCCCCUCUCUCCAGUUCCCAUUCCACGGCUCUUUCAGCAUCGUCGCCUCCUGCGACGGCCUUUUCGUCGUCGGCAGCUACAUCAUCUGCAAUCCGGCCACGAGCGAGUGGGCUGCCCUCCGGCAGGACAGGAAGCCCAUAGAGAAUCUCUUCGCCCUCUUCCGGCACCAGCCUUCAGGGGAGUUCCGCGUCAUGUACUGGAAAAACAACUCCACAGAGUUGAUCUGUCGGCAGGAGUAUUACAUCCUCACGGUGGGAACCAACAAUUCAUGGCUCGUCGAUUGUCCGUUAACCGAGGUUUUGGCCGAGGAACCAUCCAUCUUUGGCGCGCCGGUCCUCCUCAAUGGCAGCCUGCACAUACACUGGAGGAGACGGUCAGGUCUUCGCUACCACAGGAUACGGGUGUUCGACACAGUGGCAGAGACGUCACGGCAGAUGACUCCGCCACCUGUGAACCCCCGCCAUGUUAUGCACUUGCUUGACCUGGGUGGAAAGCUUGCUGCGUCCACCAGCAAGGAUGGCAUGACUGAGAUGUCCAUCUUUGUGCUUCAGGACCCUGAGCAUGAUGUCUGGGCAUUCCAGUACCGGAUCAAACUGCCGGCGAUGGAAAUCAGGCGCUUCCAGAAGCAAGGUGAUUGGUGGGCAAAGGUUGUCUCCGAGGAGGGGGACGUGCUUGUCAGCUGCUAUGGCCAUCUCCUGCAGUAUGACAAGAAGGGUAAAUUUGUAGCUAAGUUCAAGUAUGAUGAUGACAUGCCGGUGGUCAUUCCUCACAGGUUCAAAGAGAGUCUUAUCCAGCAUACAUUUUUCCAAAAGACAAAGAAGAAGAAUUGAUUCGUACCCUCUCCUGGAUAUCUGAUUUCGCGCCAUGUUAAAUCUAAGUAAGUUUUUUAUGCUACUUCUAAAUUAUAACUAGCACGGUGUCCAUGCUAUUGUGCGGGAAACGCCCUUAAUCAUCUUUAAUUUAUUAUUUAUGCAUUAUCAUGUUAUUUAUAAGAACACAAGCUCAGAAAUGAAUAUAUGCGUGGCACUCAUAUUUUCUAUUUGAUUAUUAUAUCGGUACAUAGAAUUAAGCCUGAGAUUAAAAGCUACCUGAUGUAGUUGGGAAGACUAUUUUAUGUGGUAUAGUUACGCAAUAUUAGUCUUAAUUUGGAUCGUUAGGUGGUUGGCCAUUUGCACAUGAUAUUGAUAUAUUAAUAUGCAUAACUAAUAGAGCCCAUAAUUUUCUGAAUAUGUUAUAGAGUGGGACUGCAUGGUCAUCUGUAUUGAACCUACAUUUUUUUGCGUGUGUGUGAUAUCAGACCACUUCAUGGGAAUAAAGUUCAGAAUAGGAGCCGGCCGAUUGUUUAUACGUGAUAUAUAUAUUGGAUCAGCACACGUAGAUAAAGAUCGCACUACCGGGUCAACUGUUGUUUUGCGUAUUACGCGAUUCAUCAUCGUACGUGUGAUACUAUAUAUCAAUAUACAGAGUUAAGGUACAUAUCAUGGAUUGUUGGACUUAAACCUCAAUUAUGUAUUGAACGAGCAUAAAGUUACUAGUAUUUAUUACGAGUAUCAGCCAAUAAUAUUUAAGGUCCAAAAGAUUGAUUAUCUGAUCAUCUUAACUCCAGUUAUGGCAAUCCACCAUUUUGGUUCAUCAUAAUAAGGACCUACCAGAUCAGAUGUCUAAUGAUCUUUAGGUGUAGUUACGGAAUUUAUCGGUCGUGACCUACUUUGGUAUAGUUAUGAAGAUUUAUCACCUAUGUUCAAGAGCACUUAUUGAUGAUCCAUUGGUUAUGAUAUGUGUGGUUACAAUUAUGACAAUCUAUUGGUGUGAUUUUAGGUAAUCUAUUAGGUACUAUAAUGAUGACUAUUGACUACCCUAACUUUGUAAAAACCCUAAGCACAAUAUACUUAAUAAUUAGUUUGCAGACUGUUUUCACUGAGUUCUUAUCUUUAUUUGUUAGUGGCACAAUUUGAACCUAUGUCAUUGUGCUGCAAACCAAUAAUAUCUUUUUGUGUGUAUUUAUAAAGGUGUAUGGGUUUCCCUGGAAAGAAAUGGUCUUUCGGUUGUAAGCUUAUAAAUAUUUAUUAUUAUGAUUUAUCAAUUGCCGUCUGUUCAGGAUAAUGGUGAGGUAGUCCGAACAUGUCAACCAGAUGAAUCUUAAUUAUUACUAAGAUUUUUUUUCAUGCAAGAGCUUUAUGUGGUAUCAUUCACUCUUUUAGUGAGAUUUAUAGCUGUCAUCUAAUUAUAGAAGCAGCCAAUAGUUGGCAACCAUUUAUUUGGGACGAAACCUGCUGGACCAUUACAACAAUAAAGUCGAUUUAUUGCAACUUUCUUGCUUAGCAAUAUUGGAAAUAUCAAAACAUUGAAAUUGACUUUGGAUUUUCAUCAACGCAUUAUAGAUAAUGGAUAUUGUCUGUUCAUUUUGUAUCUUCAGAUUUUGAUCGAACCACUGAGGUCUACCCCUAUUCCCAUAUUCACUUAUUCAUAUCAGCCAGAAAAUUGAUACAUUCAGUUUAUGUUAUUGCGAACUCAUAUGAUUUUUUUAUGGAAGACAAGCAUCUGUUUGUGAUUACAGACACAUCUACAUUUUAUUCAUAUAAACAAAUGAUUAUAUCUUUUGUGUUUUGCACAUUCAGAAUUUCUGUCAGUUACUUUGUCGUUCAUGAUGUAUGAAGCUAACCUUAGCUUUGAAGCUUUCACUGAAUUGCUAUGUGGGAGCACUUGGAUCACUGGGUGCACUAUUAUAGUUAUAAACAAGGUGGUUGUUCCGUCCAGACUCUACGCUGCAAGUAAUUUGCAAGACUGACAAAUUUGAUGGAUUAAUUCCUUUAUCAUUAAUCUGAGCCUCUUGCGGGUUGCUGCCGCUUUGGUUUCAACUCCUUAAAUGCAGAUAGACCAAUAAAGGCAAUAAAGGGUUAGGAAUAGGAAAUAGUACCGCGAUCUGUGUCCCAAUCCUACUGUUCAGCUGUUUAGUUCAGGGCGGGCAGCAGUGUGAACUCUUAUUUGAACUGGCUAUUCAAUCCCACUGUUGAGAUGAUCAGUUGACUGUUUUAUUGAUAUUUGAGUGUUGGGUUAGUGUUAUGCAAAAAAUAUAUUUAUUUCGGUUGUUUACAAUUGGUGCUACAACCUCAGUGAGAUAUCCUCCCACUGUAUGAAUAUCUUGCUUCAAGCUUACCCCUGCAUAGACCUAAACUGUCCAUGGAUAUAAAUUUGACUUCAAGGCUUUUAAGCUUCAACACAUUCAUCUUGUUUAUCUUAGUGAACCUGAUUCUUACUCUGGCUCUAUUUUGCUUCUUUCAGGCGAUGCUGGAGUACCUCAGUUGGUGCACAUAUGUCUAGGAGAUGAGAAGAUUGAUCUGUAUGUUCACCUGCGCCAACUUGCUUGGGACAAAAGACAUUGUUGUUGUUGUUGUCGUUGUCGUUAUUGUUGUCGUUGUCGUGUUUGUUGUCAUCGUCGUUGUCGUCGUCGUCGUCGUCGUCGUUGUUGUUGUCGUCGUUGUCGUUGUUGUUCACCUUUCCUGUUUAUCAACUCAUGUGGAAGGUCGAGGCACUGGUGAUGUUGGAGUACUUCAAUUGCUGCACCUAUGUGUAGGUGUCCUCUGCUACAGUUAUGUUCAACUGUCCUGUUGACCCAGCGCAACUUGCCCGGGACUAAAUGUUUUGUUGUUGUUCACCUCUCCUGUUUAUCAACUUAUGUGAAAGGUUUAGGCACUGCCAUGCUCUGAUCCUGUUUUGCCAUAUAUGUGUUGUGUGUUUCUUUAUCAGCCUAUGUUACCAGGGUUCUGGUGUAUGCUGCCCCAAGUGAAAAGUUGAAACGUCGUGGUACGGGUGGGUAGCUUCUUAGUGGAUGCUCCCUUCAUCCCAUAAUAUAAGACGUUUU
rnacentral:lncRNA from 1 species